UGCCCGAAGGGUGACGAUGCGACGCCGCGUGAGCGAAGAAGGCCCUAGGGUUGUAAAGCUCUGUCAGGGGUUAAGAAAUGUAGAUAGGUUAAUACCCUGUUUAUUUGACAAAAGCCCCAAAGGAAGCCACGGCUAACUCUGUGCCAGCAGCCGCGGUAAUACAGAGGUGGCAUGCGUUGUUCGGUAUUAUUGGGCGUAAAGAGCACGUAGGUGGUUUUGUAAGUCAGAUGUGAAAGCCUUCUGUUCAAAGGAAGAACGGCAUCUGAAACUGCAAACCUUGAGUGUAGGAGGGGAGAGUGGAACUUCUGGUGGAGCGGUGAAAUGCGUAGAUAUCAGAAGGAACGUCGGCGGCGAAAGCGACUCUCUGGCCUAUUACUGACACUGAGUGUGCGAAAGUUAGGGGAGCAAACGGGAUUAGAUACCCCGGUAGUCCUAACCGUAAACGAUGGGCACUAAGUAGAGGGGU
rnacentral:rRNA from 1 species